rnacentral:rRNA from 1 species
UAGUCCUAGCUGUAAACGAUGGAUACUAGAUGUAGGAUAUCAUAUAUUCUGUGUCGAAGCUAACGCGUUAAGUAUCCCGCCUGGGGAGUACGACCGCAAGGUUGAAACUUAAAGGAAUUGACGGGGACCCGCACAAGCGGUGGAGCAUGUGGUUUAAUUCGACGCUACGCGAGAAACCUUACCAGAUCUUGACAUUAUUAGGAAGAGUGUAGAAAUAUGCUCGUCUCUUCGGAGACCUUUUAACAGGUGGUGCAUGGCCGUCGUCAGCUCGUGCCGUGAGGUGUUAGAUUAAGUUCUGCAACGAGCGCAACCCCCGCGUAUAGUUACCAGCAUUAAGUUGGGGACUCUAUACGGACAGCCUACGAUGAGUAGGAGGAAGGUGGGGAUGAGGUCAGGUCAUCAUGCCCCUUACGCCCAGGGCUACACACGUGCUACAAUGGUGCAUACAGAGGGUCGCGACAUAGCAAUAUGAAGCCAAUCUCAAAAAGUGCAU